CAGCACAUGGAGAGAAGAAGACGGGCUGUCAUCUCCAGCGAAGCGUCCUCCGAAGCGCAUCAGCAAAGCCACGUUUUCACUAAACUGUGAGGAGAAGCGCUGACAUCAUCUGUUGGUGGUGUCAUAAAUCCUGACCUGUGCUGCCUACCUAAGCCCUACCUAUUGAAACAAUGCAUUGAACCCUUUCGUCCUGGUUGCCCUGGUUACGGCCACUUAUCAAGGAGAGGUCUUAAAGAUCAAACAGAUUUGUAACUACAGGAACAAUGCUGAGGAACCACCAUCCGCUCCGCAGCUCUCUCAGCCCCACCCAGCAGCACUCAGCAAAUCAGUAAGAGAUGGAUUCAAGCAUCUCUGCAGUGUUUCUUCCUCAAAGAUAGAGAGAGAGAGAGAGGGGGUAGAGGGAAGUCACCGCCGUCACUGUAAGUCACCCACCUAAUCAGCUCAGCUCAGCACCUGGGGAGAGGGAGAGAGAGCGGAAAAGAGUGAGAGAGGUAACAAUUUUAAGGGGUGACUGAACAGCCACGUAAGGUGUUCCUGCUAUGUUCCCUCAAAGGAUGGGUUCACUGGAUGUGAAGGGAAUCAAAUUAGGAGAGGUGGCCAGCCGGGUUGGGGGCCGACGUGACGUGUUACUGUGGUGUUAUUGCAUUAAAGAAAUAUAUC